AUAGCUGCAUCUCAGUGGUAGAGCAUUUACCUAUCAUGCACAAGGGUCUGGGUUCAAUCCCCAGCAUCAAUC
rnacentral:tRNA from 1 species